UAUGUAAUUCAUUCAUCUAUUCAGUAUUUACUGAGUGCCUCCUAUGGUCCCGGUACUGUUUUAGGUGCUAGGACACAGUGAAGUUCCUGCUCUGUGGAGGCUGAGACCUGGCCUUGGGGUACCUGGUAGGACAGACUUAGAUUGAAGGCACUAGGGUGCAGCAACGAGGAAUCUUCCAGGAAACAAAUGGCAAAAUUGUUCCAAAGGGAAUACUGGAUGUAGAACCUACAUUUCUUAAAGUAUCAAGGAUGCCAUAAAACACAGACCAAUUUUUCUAUCACACUUCCGACUAUACUUUUUCACCACAGCAUUGAAAUAUUUGGAGCUCCUACUUAAGUCAGAAGCUGUUACACAACCUUUUCAGAUGAAGGCAGUAAUGAUUUCUUAUGAUACGGCUUAUAUGAAAUUAGUACAAUCUUAGCCUUCAAAACAUAAUAUGCACCAUAAAAUCCUGAUAUAACAUAGUUGAUCUAUACUUUCAGGGUUAGCUCAUUUCUCCUCAAUUAUCGUUAUAAAAAGGUUUCACUCCAACUAGAAGAAAGAGCAGCUUAAUUUGUAAAAGAGUUCUAUAUGCUGCUGCCUUAGUUAAACAAAGACAGAAAGGCAGGAGGAUGGAAUGUGAAUUUGGUGAAACGCUGGCAGAGAACACAAACAGCAGUCAGUCCUUAAGGGUUGAAGAGAGGAUGAAGCACAAGCCCAGAGGAGCAGGAAGACAGACAACGUGUCGUUGGUUCCAGUUGUUCCCAGCCAUUAAGAGUAAAAACUCUUGACCGGACCCAAAAUAAUUGGCAGAAAUAAAGACUGAGGGAAGAGGACA
rnacentral:lncRNA from 1 species